GCGCUCCCUUCAGCAACACAUAUACUAAAAUUGGAACGAUACAGAGAAGGUUAGCAAGGCCCUUGCGCAAGGAUGACACACAGAUCCGUGAAUUGUUCAAUAUUUUA
ensembl:snRNA U6 U6 spliceosomal RNA